rnacentral:tRNA from 1 species
GCGUCCGUGGCUCAAAUUGGAUAGAGCGCCAUUCUGACUCAGUGGAGGAUGAGGGUUCGAGUCCCUCCGGGCGCG